rnacentral:rRNA from 1 species
UACGUAGGGUGCAAGCGUUAAUCGGAAUUACUGGGCGUAAAGCGUGCGCAGGCGGUUUGUAAGUCUGUCGUGAAAUCCCGGGCUUAACCUGGGAAUUGCAUUUGUGACUGCACGGCUAGAGUGUGUCAGAGGGGGUAGAAUUCCACGUGUAGCAGUGAAAUGCGUAGAUAUGGUGGGGAAUACCGAUGGCGAAGGCAGCCCCUGGGAUAACACUGACGCAUCA